ACCGGGUUAGCUCACUUGGUUAAGGCGCUGCCUUGCGGAGCAGUGGUGACUACCAUGGCCCGGGUUCAAUCCCCGGUUUUGCCA